rnacentral:lncRNA from 1 species
CUACUAUAUAGGGCACUGCUAGAAUUAAAGUUGUGCAAAAUUUAAUAUAACCGAUCGACUGAUAAUGUGGAAAUGUCUGGGAAGAUUAUCAGCUACGAAAGCAUAAGUUAACAUAGAUAUUUGGACUAAAAAAAAUGUAUAUAACAAAAUUAUAUCUGGAAUGCUAUAGAUCGGGAUGGAAAUGAAGAGGAAAGGGGUAUAGUAUGUAUACAAUUAUUUGGGUGGGAGACACUUCUGGAGUAAAAUUUCCGCCACCCUAGGUCCGGAUGGAAGUUUCCUGAUGACGUCAACGCGUCGCCCUGGAAACUUGGCCCCACUCCAACAUCAGUGUUCCCUUUAUGGCGAAUACUCGAUACAGAAACUGCGGACCGACUUUAAUUACGAUGUUGCGUUGGUUCGAUAAACACGUAGACGGAUGCUUUCCGUCUUUUCUCGUUGAUGAAUAAACCAAAGAGUCCCCGGAGAGAAAAAAGAGAAGAAAAACCUAGAAAGAAAUUUGCGUGGCUGUGGGAAUUAAAAGAUCUAAGUUCUUUAGGAUAAUGGGUUUUUUCUCCAAGAUCUUAACAUUUUUCCCAAUUAUUCCGACACGUGACUUUUUAUUUUCCGUGUGUCUUGAACACGCACACUAUUUAUACUCGUCUGUCAGGAAAGGUAUCGAUAAUUUGGGCUAUAACAUAAUGACCUGGAUGCAAGACCCUGAUAUAGAAUGCGUCUAUGGGGAUGGUAGAUAUAUACCAAUCGCCAUAUAGGAUACAAAAGCUAUAGAAACUAUUCUUUCCUGGUUUUUUUAUUAUAAAGAUUCAUAAUACAAUAUAUUAUUUAAUAUUUUUGUGGGUUUAUUGCUUGUUGUACUGGCCCUGUUCAUAUAAUUCGUACCUGGAAUAAGUGCAUAUUAGUGGUGUUACUAAUAAAAUUUAUGGAAGAGCUAUAAAAGAAUUAAUAAAAAUUAUCAAAGAACUGUAUGAUAUUUUAUUUCUUGGCUAUCCAAAUUAAAUUAAAUCUUUUUUGUAGAGUGAAUAAGUCAAUAAACAGUUUACAUGUCUGCCAAGUCUCUGGCUAAAGGAAGAGAGCCAGCAAACUACUUGUUGAGGGAUGGCAAUUUCGAUAAUUAAUUUUUACAUCUUUGAUUGUUUCCAUUUCUCCGAUAAUAGAGUGUUUCGCGAUCACUCGGCAGUUUCAUUCUCUUCUUACAUAAAAUGCUGAUCUUUAAAUCCAAUACAGUAUUUCCGUCAGAGAAUAAACAACGAUAAUAAGUUGCGAUUCUCUUGUAGCAAAUGCUCGAGAAGUUGUUUUUUGAAAGGAUUUAUGGACAAAUAAAUUUAGUGUGUUUGAAAUUUUCAACUUGAAAAGACAAGAUAACUUACCAGAAAAAUGGUAACAAAGACCGUCUAUCUUUCCGGUAUCGUCAUUCAUCCAGAAACUCAUCCACAAACUUUCAACAAGUAGCUGCUGGCUUUCUUCCCAUUGAAGGAAACCUUGGCAAAUAUUUUAAAGCUGAAUGUUUGCAUUAUUCUUACUAUCAAUUUAUGGGAUGACUACUAGACUUAUAUUAUCCGAUUCUCAAUACAAAAUUAUAAAAUGUACAAUAGAUAAUGUAAAGACAAAAGAAAUAUCGAAAUUAUUGGAAAUCUAACCUACAAGGAACUAGAAAAAAGAGUAAUAGGUGCAUUCAAUAAAUAGAGUCAGUGGGAACAAUAUAUACUCAUAUACGAUGUAAUUAACUGAAAUUAAAAUUAUAUCAGUUAAAUAAACAGUUUACAUGUCUGCCAAGUCUCUGGCUAAAGGAAGAGAGCCAGCAGACUAAGCUAAGAGUAAAAAUUGAUCAAGAAACAAAUGAGAAAGAGUUACCAUAUCAAGUUCUGUUUGGAACCAUAUUUGUUAUUUAACACGCUAUGCUGUAAGCUAUUGGUUUAUGAGAGUGGAUGGAUCGACAUUCAUCUCGUCUAAUUAGACAUAACAGAGAAUUCAGUUUAGUGAUUAGAUGUUAUAACAAGGUAGAAAGAAAACUGUAAUUUGUUAUUAAUAUCAACAAAAUAUAUAAGUGUUAAAUUAUGUAUUUUAUAUAUUAUAUUGCUGUGCUAUAUAGUUUAUAUUUUCUUUACAUUAAGUGCAUAAUGCAAGGAAGACAAAUUGUUGAAAAUAGAAAUGUAUCGGAUAAUUAGGUAGUGCAUGAAGUAAAAUUUGAAGUAAAUUCGGAAGUUGAUUCAAGGGCAGGGUUAGAUUUACAUAUAUGCUAUACAAGCUACAGUUAGAGCCUCACGUUGCUAAAAAAAAACAAUUAAAAUGCACUUGAGAGGAUCUGUUAAAUAUUGCACUUAGGGACCACAGCAUGGGAAAUCCGGCCCUAACCAAAGGAUGUGAAUAUACGAUCGACCUAUAUCACUUCUUUUUCUGUUAGAACUAUCUUGGACUGUAAUUACUGAUGAAUGAUGUCUGAGUCCUAGGCAUCCUGACCUAACUGGCAACAGAGAAGUUCUCUUUUUUACACCCUUCUGGGAUAGUAGUAAUAAAUUUCUUGUCGUUCAUUCCAAGAUCUGAGGGUCGCGCGCAAAUUUCCACCAGACGCCCGGCAUUUAUCAAAUUGGACUCGCGCCGACAGUUCGACUGUUUCUUCGAAAACAUAUCGACGUUGUCAGGGAGACGGUUGUGGGGAGGGUAUAACGUUCGGGACCCCAUCGGAUAAAAAAAAUCGAUAGAAGAAACUACAAACAAAUAAUAACUGCCGUUAAGACACCUUCGUUUUGUCUGGGACCGGCCACCUCGAUAGUCGUCCAUUCCGAAAGAAAACUCCAAACAGAUAGAUGGGUAUUUAGGCUCAUAACUUAUUUCACACGACGCAUAUGCAGAAAAUUUUUUCAAGUGCAGAUUAAUAAAGAUCUAUUAUUUACAGUAUUCUCUUCCGGAAAUAUUUAAAGUAGAAGCUUCCUUUGGGAUCCAUGGUACGAAUCUGAUCCGUCAUCGACCCAAUACCCAUUAUUCAUAUAAUAAGUCUGUAUAACUUCUUUGGAAACAGUUACAAUUAUUUACGUAAAUUUAACCAAAACAAUAAUGUUGUGGAACGGUUUCCUUAAUUCCCUC